GAUGAAGAACGUAGCGAAAUGCGAUAAGUAAUGUGAAUUGCAGAAUUCAGUGAAUCAUCGAAUCUUUGAACGCACCUUGCGCCCUUUGGCUAUUCCGAAGGGCAUGCCUGUUUGAGUAUCAUGAACACCUCAACUCUCAUGGUUCGCCAUGAUGAGCUUGGACUCUGGGGGUCUUGCUGGCCUAUGGUCAGCUCCUCUCAAAUAAAUCAGCUUGCCAGUGUUUGGUGGCAUCACAGGUGUGAUAACUAUCUACGCUUGUGGUUUUCCAUCAGGUAACCUUCAGUGAUGGAGGUUCGCUGGAGCUCAUAAAUGUCCCUCCUCAGCGAGGACAGCUUUUUGAACGUUUGAUCUCAAAUCAGGUAGGACUACCCGCUGAACUUAAGCAUAUCAUAAGCGGAGGA
rnacentral:misc_RNA from 1 species